rnacentral:miRNA from 1 species
AACUGUGGCAUUUCUGAAUAGA